AAUCCUAAUAAAUCCUCACGUUUCCUCAUCUCUUCCUCCUCUCGACCCCUUCCUCCGCCGCCAUACCACAACGUGGAAAUUAAUCCUCACGCUUCCUCAUCUCCGCCUCCCCAUCGACCUCUUCCCUCGCCGGCACACCAAAGCCUGCUCUCGCGCCCUCUAUCCACGCAUGGUCUGAACCUCAUGGUCGUCGGACAUCUAUGCGGCCCAAGGAAUCUUCAGAUGGUGAACAAAAAAAGAACCAUCCUUAUGGAUUUGGAGAAACACGGCUACUUGAGAUCAUGGAUAACCAAUCGCUUUCAAGCUCGGUUCUUGGUUGGCGGGCUGCAGACAUGGAAGAGGAUACCUACGAAUAACUAAAUAUAAAAACAGCGAGUAGUACAUAAUGACUGUGAUUUUACAUGUUUGCAGUUCCAAGCCAAAUGGACCAUAGAGCAGCAAUAGCAAUCAGCUCCUAGGACAUAUUGCCUUUUGCUUUAUUACCAGUGGUAUUUUAGUAAGAUUUUACUUUUAAGGCAUUUAUUACCAAACUGCACUUAUGUUCUAUACGGAUAAGACCUACUAAUUACUUGCUAUUUUAGCUCCCAGUCUAUUGAAGGUCUGUUCGUAUUUAAAUAUUAGUACGGAAUGAGUCCUUUGUCAGCUGAUUUAAUUAUAGGUAUAUCAUAAUCCUGUAGUGCUGCAAAAAAAAUAUAGCAGUUACUUUUCACAUUUUUCCCUUUUGAAUUUUUGUUAUUAUAGAUAAUUGCCAUUCUCUGGGGAUCUUUCCGUGGAUAUUUAGUUAAUGAUCAUCGGUCAAUUUUUUGAAACUUUCAAAUUGUUUCAACAUUUCAAAAUCAUGAGGUGGUAUAUAGGACAACUGGAUAUGAUGUGUACCAUAGCUGUCUUCUUAGUUCUGUUAGCAUUGUCGGAAUCUUUUCCAGACUUUUGAUUAUAUUUGACAUACUU